UCUUUCAACGUUUCAGUCCACUACUGGGACUUUCUUCAGGAAUCUGAAGAAAGUCCCAGUAGUGGACUGAAACGUUGAAAGA